CACGUAGGGUGCGAGCGUUGUCCGGAAUUAUUGGGCGUAAAGAGCUCGUAGGCGGUGUGUCGCGUCGGCCGUGAAAACCUGCAGCUUAACUGUGGGCUUGCGGUCGAUACGGGCAUCACUGGAGUUCGGCAGGGGAGACUGGAAUUCCAGGUGUAGCGGUGAAAUGCGUAGAUAUCUGGAGGAACACCGGUGGCGAAGGCGGCAUCCUGGACCGGUAUUGACGCUGAGGCGCGAAAGCCAGGGGAGCAAACGGG
rnacentral:rRNA from 1 species